rnacentral:rRNA from 1 species
CGUGAUAACGAGGGUUGGCUUGCCAACCUGAAGUGGUUGAUACCCUGCUUCCAAGAAAAGCCUCUAAGCUUCAGUUACAGAUGGACCGUACCGCAAACCGACACAGGUGGGCGAGCUGAAUAUGCUCAGGCGCUUGAGAGAACUCGGGUGAAGGAACUCGGCAAAUUGACACCGUAACUUCGGGAUAAGGUGUGCCCUCGGUAGGUGAACCUGUACAAGGGGAGCCGAGGAGGGUUGCAAAGAAUCGGUGGCUGCGACUGUUUAACAAAAACACAGCACUCUGCUAACACGAAAGUGGACGUAUAGGGUGUGACGCCUGCCCGGUGCCGGAAGGUUAAGUGAUGGGGUGCAAGCUCUUGAUCGAAGCCCCGGUAAACGGCGGCCGUAACAAUAACGGUCCUAAGGUAGCGAAAUUCCUUGUCGGGUAAGUUCCGACCUGCACGAAUGGCGUAACGAUGGCCACGCUGUCUCCACCCGAGACUCAGCGAAGUUGAAGUGUUUGUGAAGAUGCAAUCUCCCCGCGGCAAGACGGAAAGACCCCGUGCACCUUUACUGUAGCUUUGCAUUGGACUGUGAUGAGGUUUGUGUAGGAUAGCUGGGAGGCUUGGAAGUGUGGGCGCUAGCUCUCAUGGAGCCGACGUUGAAAUACCAGCCUGGCGUCAUUGCGGUUCUAACCUGGCUCCCUCACCGGGAGCGGGGACCGUGCAUGGUAGGCAGUUUGACUGGGGCAGUCUCCUCCUAAAGCGUAACGGAGGAGCUCGAAGGUUCGCUUAGCGCGGUCGGACAUCGCGCUGGACGUGCAAGGGCACAAGCGAGCUUGACUGCGAGACUGACACGUCGAGCAGGUACGAAAGUAGGACCUAGUGAUCCGGUGGUUCUGUAUGGAAGGGCCAUCGCUCAACGGACAAAAGGUACGCCGGGGAUAACAGGCUGAUUCCUCCCAAGAGUCCAUAUCGGCGGGGGAGUUUGGCACCUCGAUGUCGGCUCAUCACAUCCUGGGGCUGUAGCCGGUCCCAAGGGUAUGGCUGUUCGCCAUUUAAAGUGGUACGUGAGCUGGGUUCAAAACGUCGUGAGACAGUUUGGUCCCUAUCUGCCGUGGGCGUUGGAGAUUUGACGGGGGCUGCUCCUAGUACGAGAGGACCGGAGUGGACGUACCGCUGGUGUACCAGUUGUCUCGCCAGAGGCAUCGCUGGGUAGCUAUGUACGGAAGCGAUAACCGCUGAAAGCGUCUAAGCGGGAAACGUGCCUGAAGAUAAGAUCUCCCGGAGGCUAGACCUCCCUGAAGAGUCGUGGCAGACCACCACGUUGAUAGGCCGGGUGUGGAAGCGCAGCAAUGCGUUGAGCUAACCGGUACUAAUUGCUCGUGCGGCUUGACUUC